UACAGAGGUGGUAAGCGUUGUUCGGAAUUACUGGGCGUAAGGGGCGCGUAGGCGGCCUUCUAAGUCAGACGUGAAAUCCCCCGGCUUAACCUGGGAACUGCGUCUGAUACUGGGAGGCUUGAGUAUGGGAGAGGGAUGUAGAAUUCCAGGUGUAGCGGUGAAAUGCGUAGAUAUCUGGAGGAAUACCGGUGGCGAAGGCGGCAUCCUGGACCAUUACUGACGCUGAGGCGCGAAAGCUAGGGGAGCAAACGGG
rnacentral:rRNA from 1 species